CAGUAGUGCAACUUCAUCAAGUUUUCACAUUCGCAUCUUCUCCCUCGAGAACAAUAUUGAAACGAAAAAAAAUGGUGAAGAAACAAUGCUCCAAAAUCACUUCAAUCACCGAAAUUUGAAUCAACAUUCACCAUUCACAUAUUCUUAAUCAAACUCGAUUUCAACAUUACCUUCCAUGAAUCAGCGGUUGCAACAUCCAAAAAUAUAUUUGAUUCGUAUUGACACGGCGAAUUGAGAAGCACAAUGACCUCACGGAUUGUGCUACACAGAUAAAUGAAGAAGGAGACAAAAGAGUAUUUACCUCCAAAACAGAGAUUUGUUCCAGUGAACGUUAAGUUGAAGAAGAUGAAGAUGCGAUGGAAAAUCACUUGAACCAGGGAAUGUUAAUGUUAUACGUUGAUGCAGGGAUUGAUGUAUGAAGGACUGAUUUGGUAAAGGAACGUGGUUUGGUAUGUUUGUGUUGGUUGAGUUUUGCAGGCUAAAAUUGAUGCUUUUCUGACUUUGCGGUGUGCUUAAAUGGUGGAAAGUUAUGAAGUAGCUACAAGGCUAAGUUUCUGUCAUGAAUUGUUGCUUAUGCAGGUGACAAUGUUAGGAUGGAAGGAGUUUUAUUUGUGUGGUGCAGCUGACUUGGGCAUUGUUGGGUUUAGAUUAUAGGUUGUGUUAUGGCUUUAUGUUAUGGGUUUAUGUAAAUGUAUUGGAAUGUUUAUGGAAUUGAGUUUAUAGACUUUGUAACUUUGGUUGUAAGAUUGUAAUGAAAUGAAUGUUAUGAAUACUUUUUAGGGAUGAAAUUGUAUGUAAUGGUUUUUUGAAUUGAAUGUUAUGGAAUUUGAUUUUUUAUGAAA